rnacentral:rRNA from 1 species
CCUACGGGCGGCUGCAGUGGGGAAUAUUGGACAAUGGGGGGAACCCUGAUCCAGCCAUGCCGCGUGUGUGAAGAAGGCCCUCGGGUUGUAAAGCACUUUCAGUGAGGAAGAACGCCUGGUGGUUAAUACCCAUCAGGAAAGACAUCACUCACAGAAGAAGCACCGGCUAACUCCGUGCCAGCAGCCGCGGUAAUACGGAGGGUGCGAGCGUUAAUCGGAAUUACUGGGCGUAAAGCGCGCGUAGGUGGCUUGAUAAGCCGGUUGUGAAAGCCCCGGGCUCAACCUGGGAACGGCAUCCGGACCUGUCAAGCUAGAGUGCAGGAGAGGAAGGUAGAAUUCCCGGUGUAGCGGUGAAAUGCGUAGAGUUCGGGAGGAAUACCAGUGGCGAAGGCGGCCUUCUGGACUGACACUGCCACUGAGGUGCGAAAGCGUGGGUAGCAAACAGGAUUAGAUACCCGUGUAGUC